AUUCUUCAGCUCAUGAACAUGAUGAGGGUGUUCAUGUCACAUGCAUGAGAUGUGCCUCCCUCAAACCUUGUUAUGAUGCACAUUACUCAGCUUAUG
rnacentral:snoRNA from 1 species